rnacentral:rRNA from 1 species
UACAGAGGUCUCAAGCGUUGUUCGGAUUCAUUGGGCGUAAAGGGUGCGUAGGCGGCGCGGUAAGUCGGGUGUGAAAUCUCGGAGCUUAACUCCGAAACUGCAUUCGAUACUGCCGUGCUUCGAGGACUGGAGAGGAGACUGGAAUUUACGGUGUAGCGGUGAAAUGCGUAGAUAUCGUAAGGAAGACCAGUGGCGAAGGCGGGUCUCUGGACAGUUCCUGACGCUGAGGCACGAAGGUCAGGGGAGCAAACGGG